UACGAAAGUAGAAUUUAGUGAACCGACCAUCACUCGUAGGAGUGUGGAAGAUCAUCAGAUAAAAGUUACCCUGGGGAUAACAGGCUGAUCUUGCCCAAGAGUCCAUAUCGACGGCAAGGUUUGGCACCUCGAUGUCGGCUCAUCGCAUCCUGGGGGUGAAGAAGCUCCCAAGGGUUUGGCUGUUCGCCAAUUAAAGCGGUACGCGAGCUGGGUUCAAACCGUCGUGAGACAGGUUGGUUUCCUAUCUGCUGUAGGCGUGUGUUGCUUGAGAGACCUCUUUCCUAGUAAAAUAUUGCUACUUUACGGAGAAAUCCGUAAUGACAAUGUGGCUAAUAACGGUGGAACCUUCAUAAGUUUUCUGGCAUAUGGAAAAAUAUCUGGCCUCGGUCGGCUGGAUAUGCUAUACUUACUUGAGGACCAGAAAAUUUUUAAGGCAAUACCGUGGGAAGUUGUUCUGAAAUCGAGCUCGCAUAUAUUGCUGGUUUCUUAGAUGGAGACGGGAGUCUCAUGAUACAGAUAAAAAAGAGAAGCGAUACCGGCGCACCGCGCUUUAUGCUCACUCUUUGCCUGUACCAGGAUACCCGCCACGAGAAACCCUUGCUUUGGAUUCGCCAAAAAUUUGGUAUUGGAUACUUGUGCAGGAGAAAUGACCAUAUCACGGAAAUUCGCGUGAAUGGUUAUAGGCAGAUCGAAAGGAUCUUGCUUCUGCUCAUGCCUUUUAUCAGGUUCAAGAGGAUCCAAGCGAAAGCAAUACUGAGAGCGUCAAGGAUUCUUCAGAAGAAAAAACUCUCCGAAAAAGAUAAGAGAGAUUUGAUAGAGUUCAUUCUCAUUGUCCAAGAAGAGAAUUAUGUGACAAAAAAGAAAAGGACUCGUGAAGAAUUUUUGAAGAUUUUAGAAUUAACCCCGUAACGACUUGUUUCAGCAUCAAGUGACGCUGAACAGACUCCUUUUUUUCCGGAAGGUCCUGCGCAAUGUGGGACAGGAAGAAAGGGGUAAUACGCCGCCACCCUCACUUUCGUAAGGAAGACGGGUGAAGAUAUAGUCUGCCCUCCAAGAAAUUGGGGAAUAAAGCGACGAGAGGACCGGAAAGAACGAACCUCUGGUGUACCUGCUGUCCUGCCAAGGGCACCGCAGGGUAGCUACGUUCGGGUAGGAUAACCGCUGAAAGCAUCUAAGCGGGAAGCCAAGCUCAAGAUAAGGCAACAGUCAAUGCGAAGCAUUGACGAGUGAAAAGUUUAAAUGUUUAUAAAGUCUAUAAAGUUUAAAUGUUUAUAAAGUAUUUUUGCUUUCUAAACUUUGUACUUUCAAACCUUAUGAACUCAUGACUUUUGACUUGCCAACGCUUCGCGUUGGCGGAUUUCCUAGAAGAUGACUAGGUUGAUAGGCUGCAGGUGGAAGUCCGGUGACGGAUUGAGCCGAGCAGUACUAAUAAAUCUAUCUAUACUUUCUU
rnacentral:rRNA from 1 species